rnacentral:rRNA from 1 species
GCAAGUCGAACGAACUCGGACUUCGGUCCAUAUGGGGGAGUGGCAAACGGGUGAGUAACACGUGAGAAACCUGCCCCGAAGUCGGGAAUAACUCAGAGAAAUUUGAGCUAAUACCGGAUGCCCUCUUCUGAUCGCAUGAUCGGAUGAGGAAAGAUUUAUCGCUUUGGGAGGGUCUCGCGCCCUAUCAGCUAGUUGGUGAGGUAAUGGCUCACCAAGGCAUCGACGGGUAGCUGGUUUGAGAGAACGAUC